CCUACGGGGGGCUGCAGUAAGGAAUCUUCCGCAAUGGGCGAAAGCCUGACGGAGCAACGCCGCGUGUGGGAUGACGCCUUUCGGGGUGUAAACCACUUUUCUCGGGGAAGAAGCACUGACGGUACCUGAGGAAUAAGGACCGGCUAACUACGUGCCAGCAGCCGCGGUAAUACGUAGGGUCCGAGCGUUGUCCGGAGUUACUGGGCGUAAAGCGCGCGCAGGCGGCGGUGUAAGCAUGGCGUGAAAGCCCCCGGCUCAACCGGGGAGGGUCGUCGUGGACUGCACCGCUUGAGGGCGAUAGGGGCUGGUGGAAUGCCUGGUGUAGUGGUGAAAUGCGUAGAGAUCAGGCGGAACACCCGUGGCGAAGGCGGCCAGCUGGGCCGUCCCUGACGCUGAGGCGCGAAGGCGUGGGGAGCGAACGGGCUUAGAUACCCUAGUAGUC
rnacentral:rRNA from 1 species